GCAGCCAUGCUUUGCAGAGGCUACAGCAUCGCUCUCAUUGGUAGUAUCAGCUUCUCGCCAAACGGAGUCUUUGCCUGCUCGCCUGCUACACCGACAGGAAAAAAAAACGGGAAUACAAGAAGUCCACGAUGCAAAGACCUGCAGUAAAGCAACACUUCUUAAAAUGAGGUGAAAGAUAAAGAGCAGAGCGCGGAUAAAUAUUCGCAGAGCAAAGUGCGCUGGGAUCCACCAUAUGGCGUGGAGCAAAUCCUGGUGCAUUAUGGGAUAACGGAGGACUUUUACGCUUUCUGCAGUUUGGAACUCGACGUAGACGCAUCACACGGAGUCCUUUUCCGCCUUCCAAAGCGACCUGGGACGUAUAAUUAUUUUGCCCUCCGUAAAACUACCUCCUGGGUGUUUUGCGUAAAAGUCAGUCCUAUAACCUAACCCAUUUUUGAUUUUUUUCCAAUGUAAGGUAGGCCUGUACAACAGCCGGCAGAGGAUUUGAUCUGUUUUUGCAAGAUGCUUUGGGAUUUUUUUUUACCUCCACUUUUGGCCAAACUUGACAUCCAAAAUAUAUUUUUUAGUCAUACAACACAGGCCUUGGAGGCUGCAAAAUAGGUACAUUUGUAGUAACACAGAAAGGUUUGAGGUGUCUUCCAUUUUUUUCCCCACAGUAGAGUGAAUGCAGCUGAUGGACGAACACACACUUACACACUCACACACAGAUAGAAAGACGAGCGGGUUGUGUCUCUCCGUGUUCACAGCGGACCUUGAUUUAAUGUCUUACAAUUAAGGCACGCGGUGAAUGCCAAGAGAUGAUCCUCCUUUCUUCGCAUGUCUGCAGACACAAGAAAUAAAUCAUGAAAUCUUUACACCACUGGUUAUAUAUUUUUUUACAUUUUGGUAAGAAAAGGUUUGCUUCUGUGUUUCCAACUGUUACGCAUUAUUCCUGUACUGUCUCUUUCAUCAAUAAAGCAAAUACGCACAAGG